CCGUUAUCAAGGCACUAUUUCCAAAACACACAGGGACUCAUUUUUGUUGUUGACAGCAAUGACAGAGACCGUGUAGUUAAGGCGAGGGAUGAACUCCCAAGAUGCUGAAUGAAUUAAAUUUUCUUCAAAAAAGAAGCCAUUUGCAGUAAGCUUUUGGAUCAAAGCGAAGUUGAGAAUAGGGUGUUAGUUGAUAGCAAAUUGAUAACCAGUAGAGGCACAUCCAUGGAGUUCUUGCUUGCGAUUGUUGAGAAGCUAUUUGGCUGCGAGAAGGCAUUGGAUCUUGCUGUCAAUGAGAACUUUAAAUAGACAUAUAACUAUUAUGUUGGCAUUGUACUUUUGUGAAUGGAUUAAAAUGAAUGAUUGUAUUUGAUUAAAUGAAUGAAUGAUUGUGUUUGAUUGAA